rnacentral:rRNA from 1 species
CGGAUGGAUCAUUUCGAUGAAAACCUUUUUUCUUGAGGUGUGGCUCGCACCUGUCUAACUAAAAUGAGCUACCUUUUUUAACACGGUUGCAUCGGUUGGCUGUCAAACAGUGCGCGGCAAAUUUGGAUAUUCAUUUAUUCUUCGCUGCGCGCUUGGGAGACGGUCGACACUUUACCAUAAACACUGUUGAUACCAUAGGAUUUGAACGUAGAUGAACUCGACUGGUAAUGCGGUCGUCUAAAUCUAAAAACAACUUUUGGCAACGGAUCUCUUGGUUCUCCCAUCGAUGAAGAACGCAGCGAAUUGCGAUAAGUAAUGUGAAUUGCAGAAGUGAAUCAUCGAAUCUUUGAACGCACCUUGCGCUCCCGGCAGAUCUAAUCUGGGGAGCAUGCCUGUUUGAGGGCCGCGAAUUGUUUCGAACGACAGCUUUCUUGUUUAUUCGAGAGGGCUGGCGGAUCGGUAUUGAGGGUCUUGCCAUUUUCCACAGUGGCUCCCUCGAAAUGCAUUAGCGCAUCCAUUCGAUAGGCAAGACGGACGAAAGCUCGUUGUUUCGCCCACGUCUUUCCCCUGCCGGGUUUUGAUAAUAUCAGGACUUCGGAGAGGAAGGCGGAGGGUCGAGGAGCUGGACGCGACGUUUUGCUGGUUGGAGUGCUUCUGAACCCCGCCCAUGCCUCGCAAGAGGAAGGGAAGAUUAAUUUCAAUUCAUCGGCCUCAGAUUGGUAGGACUACCCGCUGAACUUAAGCAUAUCAU